CGACGUCUCGGGGCGGCGUUGCUUUACGGCAGCGCGGCGCUCCAGGCCGCGGGAUCCGCCGGGAUGAAGCAGAAAAGGAAAAAUGGGAAAGGGGAGCUCAGCCAGGCCGAGCUGAUGGUGAUGACCAUCGCCGACAUCAUAAAGCAGCUGCUGGAGGCGCACGAGCAGGGAAAAGAUGUGGAUCU